AUUAGUCAGGGAUGUGGUCAGGCUGGGGGAUGACUGUGGCAUUGCUGGAGCAGAUGGUCUGACGGGGGGCACAGGCUGGCGCUCGGGGUGUCUGGAUGGGGAAGGUUCGAGACGAGGACGAGCCAGAUGGUGAAUGGGAAACAGACGGGGGAGGGAUAGGAAAGGCUGGUUCUAGCUGCCCCGGGGCAGUUAAUGGGGUUUGUCCACUGUGCACUGGACUCAGAGGUGACAGAGUUUACACCAUUCAGUAGGAUAUCAUGAAGCCCAGCCCGGCAUUAUGGUGGUAGCUGAACAGGCUGAUGUGGUUUCUGGUUCCUUCCUCUGGGCAUCCGCUCCUGGAGCAGCAAAAUCCUUAUUGAAUUGUGGACCCCAGAAUUGGACACUAUUCCAGCAGUGAUUGCACCAGUGCCAACUACAGAGGUAUUAUUGAUCCUGUUUCCAUUGGAGACUGUAUGGAUGACUGGAGAAAUGGUAACAUUGUUUCAUCACAGAUAACAAAAGAAGCAAAACCCAGAUGAUUGGUAGAUGAAGAGAUAUUUAUACAAAACUGUUUCGGGGCAGAUACAGAGGUCAUGAUUUAUAAACUGGUGUAAAUGGGCCACUUUUUGAUGAAAUGAGACAGCCUUAUACUCACUUACAAAGACAGAACAUAUACCUCUUCCACCCCAGCUUUGAUCUCCAGCCUACCCCAGUGCAAAUCCAGAGAGACCCCAGGGACAGCAGUGGAGUCAGAGCCGGAUUCUGAUCUCAGUGACCCGGGUGUAAAUUUGGUGUAAGUGGGAUCAGGCUCAGGCUCACUGACAUGUCGCACCCCCCUCUGCCCUGGCUUAGCUCAGCUCUAAAAAUUCCUGUCUUUAGCCUUGGCCAUAUCCUCCCUAAGCUUUUCAACCACACAUUUUAGCUUCUCGACCGGGUUCUUUAUUGUCUCUGUGUCAAGGAACCUCCUGCUCCCCCACCCUCCUUUUUCUACCACUGGCCGCACUAACUGAUAAAUCUCCUCCAAAAUCAUGCAGGCAUAUUCAUAGUCUGAGGGGUCAUCAAUGUAUGACCUGAGCGCGUUGACUUUCCCAAUCAGCUGACUCACAAAUUGUAUGUGUUUUUUCAGCUCCUCCUCCUCCUCCUGCACUGCUGAAAGCUCAGUUGGUUCACCACCAAUCUCUCUGUUUUUCCCCAGACUGGCCCCGAUGUGUUCAAUCUUCUCCUUGGUUUCUCUCUUCUCUUUCUCACAUAUGCAAACUUCCCGUUUGUAGUCGGAGACCUGGAUUUUGUACUGGCUGAUGGUUUUGUGCAAUUCCAAGGCUGCUUUCUGAGCAAUGUACAUAGACACCUGGCAAAUGAUGGUCACGAGGCUAGCCGACAGGAAAAGCUCCUUCGUAUCGGUCACUUUUAGGGCUUCUUGAAAAAAUUCCAUCGAAACUAUUUAUAAAAAGA